GAUGAACGCUGGCGGCGUGCCUAAUACAUGCAAGUCGAGCGAACAGACGAGGAGCUUGCUCCUCUGACGUUAGCGGCGGACGGGUGAGUAACACGUGGAUAACCUACCUAUAAGACUGGGAUAACUUCGGGAAACCGGAGCUAAUACCGGAUAACAUGUUGAACCGCAUGGUUCAACAGUGAAAGACGGUCUUGCUGUCACUUAUAGAUGGAUCCGCGCCGCAUUAGCUAGUUGGUAAGGUAACGGCUUACCAAGGCAACGAUGCGUAGCCGACCUGAGAGGGGGGUCGGCCACACUGGAACUGAGACACGGUCCAGACUCCUACGGGAGGCAGCAGUAGGGAAUCUUCCGCAAUGGGCGAAAGCCUGACGGAGCAACGCCGCGUGAGUGAAGAAGGUCUUCGGAUCGUAAAACUCUGUUAUUAGGGAAGAACAAAUGUGUAAGUAACUAUGCACGUCUUGACGGUACCUAAUCAGAAAGCCACGGCUAACUACGUG
rnacentral:rRNA from 1 species